rnacentral:rRNA from 1 species
UGCUUAACACAUGCAAGUCGAACGGCAGCGCGGGAAGCUUGCUUCCUGGCGGCGAGUGCGAACGGGUGCGUAACACGUAGGAAUCUACCCAGCUGCGGGGACAACCCGGGGAAACUCGGGCUAAUACCGCAUACGCCUACCGGGGAAAGGUGGGGACCUCUUCGGAGGCCUGCCGCUGUUGGAUGAGCCUGCGGCCGAUUAGCUUGUUGGUAGGGUAAUGGCCUACCAAGGCGACGAUCGGCAGCUGGUCUGAGAGGAUGAUCAGCCACACUGGGACUGAGACACGGCCCAGACUCCGUACGGGAGGCAGCAGGUGGGGAAUAUUGGACAAGUGGGCGCAAGCCUGAUCCAGCAAUGCCGCGUGUGUGAAGAAGGCCGUUCGGGUUAGUAAAGCUACUUUCAGGUGGGGAAAGAAAAGCGUUGGGGUGAAUAGCCCCGGGUCUUGACGGUACCUACAGAAGAAGCACCGGCUAACUCCGUG